UCAAGAUUGAUUUGAGUUAUCUUUGAGCCAAAUCAGAUUCUCCCAUUCAGUAUGCUUGCUAGGCACCAAAAGCAGAGAUAUGUUUCUGGUCAUGCGUUUUCCUUUUUGUCCCAUCCUAGUACCUGAGCACAGCCUUGGUGAUACCACCCCAAACAACGGCAUU